UCCCUGGUGGCUCAGUAGGUAAAGCAUCUGCCUCCAAUGCGGGAGACCCAGGUUCAAUCCCUGGGUUGGGAA
rnacentral:tRNA from 1 species